CCAACCUAGGUGGUCAGAGUUG
rnacentral:miRNA from 1 species